UACAACUGGACAAUGACAAUGUAUGUAUAUGUAUAUGUGUAUGUAUGUGUGUUUGUGUGUGCGCGCCAUGCCCGAAGUUUGAGUAGCGAGUAAAGAGUGGCUACGGACGGCGGCCAGAAGUGAAACCAACAAAAAAUCAUUUGUUUCUUGCUAGCUGAGCUCAGCGCACGCUAAAUUCAUUCUAACCGCUAGCCGAACAAAACGAAAAACGCAACAUUUUAAAGGGAUUGUGCAGCACACUUGCUGCAGUAGACGAAAAAGCAGAAGUGCGGAAGAGCUUAAGCAUGCUGGCGGAACAGCAUGCAUAAGGGAGCAGAAGAGAGAGACAGAGAGGAAAAACGCUAAUAGAUGUACAAGGAAGCAGAAGCAGGAGAGCAGAUGAGCAAACGCAUACAGGCUUAACAAUGCAGUGAGUAGAAAAUCAGAAGAGUUUACGCAACCGGCGCCACAAUACAUGCACAGCUGGACAAUGACAAUGAAGCCAUGCAAGAGUUGAACCAGUCACUAUGCAGUCAGCAGUGAAGCUUACACAUCCACGCGGCACAUUGCUAAUACAUAUACAAUGGAGCAGAGUUUACGCAGCAGGCGCAACCAUACAUGUACAGCUGGACAAU